AGACGCAAGACUGCCGCCUCGAACAGAUCCUCAGGUGUAUCUAAAGGUGAAAAGGAAAAAGGCACGUACAAGGGCGGCAGUAUAUCACAACUGCAGCAUAUUAUUGCUAGGGUACGUAUGUAUAGUAAGCUUAUUGGCUUAGUUAUUUGUUUUUAUGUUUACAGUCAUGUUUUGUAGCUAAAAUAUCAUAUGUUUACAUAUUAAUAUGAGAACAUGAACUAUAGGAGUCUGAGUCUCAAGGCCAACCUAUCAAUUGGUUGGAUGUGUAUGUGGCUACCCGUGAUGGUCUGCCUGAUGCUGUUCAGAUAGCGGUAAUAAGUUAACUUUAUAGUAAUAUGUUGUAUAUAAAUUGUGAUGACCUUUUUUAGCAUUUUUUAUUUAUUUUUAACUAUUUAAUUGUUGACCUUCUGACAGGACACUUAUAAGGGCUUAAUGAACGAGCGCUAUCCUGAAGGCACCCCGCGUCCGUCGAUUGAUCAAGAAUUAUGGGAGAGGGCGUCCACCGUGAAGAAAAACUAUGUUAAAG
rnacentral:lncRNA from 1 species